rnacentral:piRNA from 2 species
GUAAUGGUUAGCACUCUGGACUUU